rnacentral:lncRNA from 1 species
GGCGGCUUAUAAAUGACAAAAAUUAUUAUUCACAGUUCUAGAUGCUGGAAGUCCAGAAUCAGUGUGUCAGAAUGAUGGGCUUCUGUGAGGGCCCUCUCUGGGUUGCAGACUGUCCAGAUUGCAUUGUGUCCUCACAUGGUAAAAGGAGGGUGAGAGAGCUCUUUAGGGUCUCUUUCAUAGGGCACUAAUCUUAUUCAUGGGGGCUCUACCCUCAUGAUGGAAUCACUUCCCAAAGGUCCCACCUCCCAAUACCAUCACACGAGGAUUUCAAUGUAUGAAUUGGUGGGGGGCGGGGGGGGGACACAAACAGAAACUGAACAUAGGUAGACCUGUUAGGAAUCCACUGAGAUAAUCUCGGCUAAAAAUAGAGAGGUGGACUUAGGACCGGGCAGCAGAAUUGACAAAAGUGGGCUGAUUUUUAGAUACUACACAAUACACACACAUCAUCUCUUAUUUUAGUGUACAGGGUAUAAAGACUAGAGGAAAAAUCGUAUUAACCUCCAAGAGAGCCCAGCCAUGUUGGUUUUUGCUUGUAAUGUGUAAACCUUGUGACUAUCACAGGGACUGGCUCAUAGUUCAUGCGCCAAUAAACAUUUGAUGAAUAAAUGGCAAUAUCAAUUUUAACACACACACGUUUUCAUAAAAUAAAACAGGUCUGGUUAAGCCAUAAAUCAUAUAGAUUCUCUCUUGUAUCACCAUGAAUUCUAAACAAGAUCUUGAAAGCAGUAGGUACUUAGCCCCUAUGGAUAAUGAUAAAAAUGCUUUACGAAUUUUCUCUUUAGAUUUAAUAUGAUAAGCAAUCUGGAGCCACCACGUUGAAGAGCAUCCUAAUACAUUCUACCACUGAAAAUUGUCACACCACUUUGAAUGCUUUGUUGAAAAGAGUGUAAACGUGACCCUGACCAUUACUUACCCUAAUGAUUCCAGAAUUGAUUGCCCACUCUGUGCACAGCAGAUUCCUUCCUUUUCUAUCCGCAGGGACUCCUGCGCUGGCGUUUCCCUGCUCUGUGAGGUAGGCAGGAAUGCCAGGCUGAGCCGUGGCUGCUGCCUUAAUGCUCUGGCGGAGGGGGAGGUCGCUACCCUGAGAAGUGGGCAUUUAUAUUCUAUGCAGUAUCUCCAGACAACUACUGUUGAGUUGGCUUUUCUUCCUUUUAUGCAUCACUCACCCCAGUUCCCUGAUUUGGAAGAACUCAGCAAUGAUACAAAUAGGAAUAUAUAUUGGAAUUCGGGUAAGUGAUAAACAAUUGUGAAAUAGUUCUUGUGCAAGAGAAAGUAACAAAUGAUGGGUAGGUUUUUCCCCAUGAGCAUGGUUUACAACACCUGGUGCUACUUCAUUUAUAGAAAAUAUCUUUUAUACUCUGUACAAAGCACUGUGCUAGACCCUGGAUAGAGAAGGAUGAAGAAAACUCAUAUGGUCAGUGAAAUCGUUAGCCUACAAUUGGUAAGGAAAGCAUAUACUACGUAGCUGAUGACUAAAAAAAGCAAUACUUACAAAAUGUGCUGGAUGGAUUAAGGAAAACAUUGCGGUACUAUAAGAGAGAAAAAUCUGCCUGGAAUUAUAUUUAAAUUAGGUAGUCAGGGAAGACUUCUCUUAAGAGUUAAGGUUUAAGCUGACACCUGAAGAAUGGUUGACUUUUUCAAUGAAAAGAAAGGCAAAGACUUCUGAAAAAUGAAUGAAGAGAAAUGUGAGAAGCAAAGAGAAGUUGUAAAACAUUUACUGUAAUGAGUGAUUACUAGGCACACUGUGAGAUCGCUUCGAAAGUGUUGACUGACUUAGGGAUUACUCAGAUCCUAGAUAUUCAGUUGAUAAUCAGUUUUGAUCUCUUGGCUGGAAGGAGGGGAUGCAUUCUCAGUGAAGAAAAGACAUAGUAAAUAUUAGAAGGGUAACUAUGUCUCUUAAAUCCAAUGUUUGGAAAAAAAAUCUUUGCAUGAAAGAUAUUACAGUUGUUUUGCUUAAGGAAAAAGCAAACUUUAUAAUAGAAUUUAUAAUAUCAAUUAAUUUUCCCUCUGUGGAAGCUCCGCUGCAAUAGAGUAGCUUAUUGAAUAUUUAUAAUAUAAAUAUGGUAAGCGUUCAGCAAAAAAUAGCA